GUGUGUUAGCUUAGUGUUUAUAAAAUUUCAUUGAAAUCGGAGUAGUUUAAGUUAGGUUUUAAGUCUUAAUUUUGGUUUAUGGUCAUAGUGUUAGUUAAUCUGUUAUUUAAUAGAAGAUUUGUUGAUGGAUGAAUUGUAGCUUCAUUAUGCAAGCGAAAACUCGAGCAUUUCUUUAGAACAGAUUAUUUACCAUAAUGCAAUUUUUACUCCUUUGGUUUCAGGGGCAAUGACGGCUUAAUUUUCUUCGAAAUCUUGAUCAUUGCCUCUCAAGCUAUUCAUCUGUUAUACGAAAAUCCGAGAUAGAGGAUGCAGAGGAGUGCUUCAAACUAUUUUCUUUGGAAGAGGCGGCUAAAUUUGACGAAGUGACCCUUGCCAAUGUGAACAACUUCAAAAAGCGCU